GGGGGGAUACCCAAGUGGCCAAAGGGGGCAGACUGUAAAUCUGCUGGCGCUGCCUUCGCAGGUUCGAAUCCUGCUCCCCCCA
rnacentral:tRNA from 1 species